CAGUAGCCGCGGUAAUACAGAGGGUGCAAACGUUGUUCGGAAUUACUGGGCGUAAAGCGUGUGCAGGCGGCUUGGUAGGUCGGACGUGAAAGCCCACGGCUCAACCGUGGAGGGUCAUUGGAAACUGUUAAACUUGAGUGCAGGAGAGAAAAGUGGAAUUCCUAGUGUAGCGGUGAAAUGCGUAGAGAUUAGGAGGAACACCAGUGGCAAAGGCGGCUUUUUGGCCUGUAACUGACACUGAGGCGCGAAAGCGUGGGGAGCAAACAGGAUUAGAUACCCGCGUAGUCCCUGUCUCUUAUAC
rnacentral:rRNA from 1 species